UACGAAGGGGGCUAGCGUUGCUCGGAAUCACUGGGCGUAAAGCGCACGUAGGCGGACUCUUAAGUCGGUGGUGAAAUCCUGGAGCUCAACUCCAGAACUGCCUUCGAUACUGAGAGUCUCGAGUCCGGGAGAGGUGAGUGGAACUGCGAGUGUAGAGGUGAAAUUCGUAGAUAUUCGCAAGAACACCAGUGGCGAAGGCGAUCUUCUGGACGGAUACUGACGUUGAGGCGCGAAAGCUAGGGGAGCAAACAGG
rnacentral:rRNA from 1 species